rnacentral:lncRNA from 10 species
ACCGAGCGAAGCCUGCACCGUCUCGGCCGCGGAGAAGGCGAGCAGCGAGCCCUCUUUGGCCAGGAAGCCUUUGCCGUCCUCCGCGUCAGCCUGCAGCGCCUCCGCCUUGUCGAAGUUACCGCCGCCGGGCAGCGGCUGCGGCGCGAACUUGCGGGCCGCUGCCGCCUCCUGGUGCUGGGGCGACGCGGAGAAGCCGCCGGGGAGCGUGGCCAUGAGCGUAGAGUUAGCCAGAUACGGUGGCGUGUGCCUGUGGUCCCAGCUACUCAGGAGGCUGAGGCAGGAGGAUCAGCUGAACCCAGGAGGUCAAGGCUGCUGUGAGCUGUGUUCAUGACACCGCACUCCAGCCUGGGUGACAGAGUAAGACCCUGACUCCAAAAAAAGGAGGAGGAAAUCCUGUGGCAUGCUACAUGAAUGAAUGUUGAGGACACUACGCUGAAUCAAAGAAGCCAGCUGCAAAAGGACAAAUAUUGUAUGAUUCCAUUUAGUUGGAGGUAUUUAGGGCAGUCAAAAUUAUGGGCAGUAAGUAGACUGGUGGCUGCCAGGGCUGGGGGGAGGGGAAACAGGGAGUUGCUUUUCAAUGUGAAAAAGUUCUAGAGAACUAUUACACAGCAGUGUGAAUCUAUUUAACACUACUGAACUGUACACUUAAGAUAGCUAAGAGGAAUUUUUUUUUUUUUUUUGAGAUGGAGUCUCACUCUGUCUCCCAGGCUGGAGUGCAGUGGCACGAUCUCUGCUCACUGCAAUCUCCACCUCCCAGGUUCAAGCAAUUCUCUGCCUGAGUCUCCCGAGUAGCUUAAAUUACAGGUGCCCGCCACCACGCCUGGCUAAUUUUUUUUUUUUUUUUUUGUAUUUUCAGUAGAGACGGGGUUUCACCAUCUUGGCCAAGUUGGUCUUGAACUCCUGACCUCGUGAUCCACCCGCCUUGGCCUCCCAAGUGCUGGGAUUACAGGUGUGAGACACCGCACCCGGUCGGGAAAAUUUUAUAUUAUGUGCUUUUUACCACAAUAAAAUGUAAAAAAAAAAAAAAAAAUUAAAAAUAAAUCAACAAAUGAGUGAAUGGUUUAUUCCAAAGGAACUUCAUGGAUUAACUCUUCCCCGGAGCAUCUGAAUUUAAAAAUUCUUAGGGGUGAAAAUAAUGAAAAAGAAAUAAGUCCUCCAUGUUGGCAAAACUUCAGGCAGCUAUGGGGGGACCUUUGGGGAUCACUGUGAGAAUCGUGUUGCUGUUUUUAAGCUGCAAUUUGGGGAAAAAUAAGCUUUUGGAAACCUAAUAAUUGAUUAUUAUUUAUUAGAUUUUUAGAAGUGUAAAGUCAGUAUGUUUUCAUUUAUUUAUUUAUUUAAACAGAGUCUUGCUCUGUCACCCAGGGUGGAGUACAGUGGUGCAGUCUCGGCUCACUGCAACCUCCACCACCCAGGUUCAAGUGAUUCUCCUGCCUCAGCCUCUCAAGGAGCUGGGAUUACAGGCAACUGCCACUGUGUCCAGCUAAUUUUUGUAUUUUUAGUAGAGACGGGGUUUUGCCACGUUGGUCAGCGGCUGGUCUCGAACUCCUGACCUCAGGUCAUCCACCCGCCUUGGCCUCCCACAGUGCUGGGAUUACAGGCAGGAGCCACCAUGCUUGGCCAAGUCAGUAUUUUUUUUUUUUUUUUUUUUUUUUGAGAUGGAGUCUCCCUCCGUCACCCAGGCUGGAGUGCAGUGAUGCAAUCUCAGCUCACUGCAACCUCCACUUCCCGGAUUCAAGUGAUUCUCCUGCCUCAGCCUCCCGAGUAGCUGGGAUUACAAGCAUAUGCCACCAUGCCAGGCUAAUUUUUUGUAUUUUUAGUAGAGACUGGGUUUUGCCAUGUUAGCCAGGAUGGUCUCGAUCGUCAGUAUGUUUUAAAAGAGCUCUGCCUUCUUCCAGGACUCUUAAAUACAUAUUUAAAAUUUUAGAAAGUCAGCCAAACUGUUUUCUAUAGUAGGGUGGGGUGGAAGGGGUGGCUGGAGGGUAUAGUCUUAGAAGACAGGCAUAUUUCCAUUUUCAGAAUUCAAUGAGGACUGUGCUCCUUAGAGGCCAUGGUGGCUGUAUUUCUUACUGUUCUUACCCUUGCUAUUUAAAUAACAUUGCUGGCUGGGCAUGGUGAUUCAUGUCUGUAAUCUCAGCACUUUGGGAGGCUAAGGCAGGCAGAUUACUGAGCCCAGGAGCUCAAGACCAGUCUGGGCAACAAAGCGAGACCCCAUCUCUACAAAAAAUAAAAAAAUUGAUGGUGUGCACCUGUAGUCCCAGCUGCAUGGGAGACUGAGGCAGCAGGAUCCCUUGAGUGCAGAAGGUCGAGGCUGCAGUAAGCCACAUUCAAGCCACUGCACUCUGGCCUAGGUGACAGAGUGAGACCUUGUCUCAAAAAAAAAAAAAAAAAAAAAAAUUUGCUAUUUUUUUCCCCAUUUUUUACAGUCUCUAUCUUAAUAUUGGGCUGUUUUCUUUUUCUAAUGAUAAAACAAUCCUAAUAACAGAAGGAACCAUUUAUCAAGUUCUUUCUCUGGGUUGGGCUCUGGGCCUGGGUUUUUGCAGUUUCUCUGCUCAGUGGGGCCUGCAGAUCAGGAUCCAAGGUUAACAGAAACAUCCAAAUGCUUGGAGCCACAGAAUCUGGGCCCCACUCCAAACCUCUAGAGUCUGAAUCUGCAUUUCAACAAGAUCCCUUCAAAUUUGGUGAAGACCUGCCUUACACCAGACAUCUUACUAAUUCCUAAGUAAGUGAGAGAGGCGCAGAUAUGUUCACUUCCCAGGUAAGCAAAUUGAACCAAUUUCAGUUAAGUCAUUGUUCUUGGUCAGUGGAGAAGCUCUGAACCUAUCUCUAAGGUGUUACCUUGGGCUGCUACUCAUCUUCCAGUGUAUUGCUUCCCUUUCCAGGACAAAGCAAUCUUCCUAGAGUCCCACUGAGACCAAACCUGCUCACUUGCUUCGUGGUUCCUCACAGCCUGUCCAGUGAAGUUCAGAAUACUUGGUCUGGAAGCCAAGUACCUCCUGAUCUGCCCCCACCUUCUCUAGCCUUGCCUCCUUCCAGCUGCCAAAGCAUGGGGAUCCUCCUAGCCAGGAGGAUAAAUCACUAUCCCUCCAUGGAACCCUGUACUUCCCUGCACACCUGCCUUCAUUCAAGUUUUCCUUUGGAGGCAGUGGUAACUCCUGAAAGUCUAUGUAGGAGAGGCUUGGGGAGAGUCAUCUGCCUGGGAUGGGGAUCUGAGGGGUCUUGAAGCUGGGUUUACGUAGCCCUUUUGUAGGACAGAUCAAUUGUCCAUCUCAAAGGGUGGGUGAAGGUGGGUCAGCUGAUGGAGCUGGGGGAUGCUGUCUUAUCACUCCCUGGGCAGGUCCACUGUGUUAAAACUUGAUUGUCCACCAAGGUGCACCCUGGCUAACUCCUUCAUGAUGUCCAUCCUCACUUCCUGGGCUCUGCCUGGGCCCCCCUUUCACUCCAUGAUGGGCUUUACUUAUGGUGCAUAUAACAUCCCACCUCACCCUGCAGUUAUUUGCUGGGGUCUGAAUUCCCUUUCCAGAUUCUACCAAUGGGAGGGUGGUAUGGUUUGUAUAUUUGUUCCCUCCUAAUCCCAUGUUGAAGUUUGAUCCCCAGCAUUGCAGGUAGGGCCUCAUGAGAGGCGUUUGGGUCACAGGGCCUUGGUGACCUCCCUGCAGUAUUGAGUCAGUUCUUGCUGGAUUAGUACACUUGGGAACUGAUUGUUAAAAAGCCCAGCACCUCCUUCGCUCUCCCUUGUCCCUCUCUUGCCAUGUGACACACUGGCUCCCUUUCAUUUUCUGCCAUGAGUAAAAGCUUCUUGAAAGGCCUCACCAAAAGCACAUGCUGGCACAAUGCUUCUUGUACAGCCUGCAGAACUGUGAGCUGAAUAAACCUCUUUUCUUUAUAAAUUGCCCGGCCUCAGCUGUUCCUUUAGAGUGAUGCAAAACAGACCAAUACAGAGGGAGUGUCUCCUCUGAGGUUCAUUGGGGCAGCACCUUGCGCUGGCUGUAAUGGAAAAAAGAGAGCCACUGCUUGUCCUUGGAGGAUGAACAUGAAGAGUCUUUGCUUUAAAAUACAGUGUAUUCAUAGAAAAUUUGAUGUCUCAUAGGGCCAACAGAUCAGGAGAUGACUGCUAUUGAAAAGGUGUUUUAUUGAUCAUUGUUCCUAAGAGGAGAGGGUAUGCUAUGACAUGGGGGCAGCCCAUGAGGAAGCCCCAGGGUCUUUCAGGAGGCAGGGGAGGAAUGGGCAAGAGAGGGCAAGGCUGAAGUUUGUCUAGUUUGGAUAAUUUCAGCAGACUCUGGGGCAUAGGACUUUCCCAAGUUGUGUGGCACUUGCUCUGGAGUAGACAGUGGUCUGGCAUGUGAGAAAGAGUGGGAUAUAAGAGGUGGUUGAGGUGUGGGCUCUGGGCUCCAGAUUGGUUGGCUAACAUUGGAAAAGCAUGCUUUGUGUGGAAUUGUUUACUGUUGCUAAGAACCAGCUAAGCCUGGUGGGUGGGGGGCAGUCAGUUCCUCCUGGGUCAGCAAGGCCCCAGAUGUCAAAGCAUCUGAAUAGAGAAAGUAAGCUGGGGGAGGGGGCUCACUCCUGCAAUUCCAGCUACUCAGGAGGCAGAGGCAGGAGGAUUACGUGAGGCCAGGAAUUAGAGCCUGGGCAACAUGCGAGAUCCCAUCAUCUAUAUAAAAUAGAAAAAAUGAUCCCAGUGCAGUGGUGUGCACCUGUAGUCCCAGCUACAUGGGAGGCUGAGGCAGGAGAUCACUUGAGCCAAGAAGGUCGAGGCUGCAGUGAGCUAUGAUUGCACCACUGCACUCCAGCCUGGGUGACAGAGUGAGAUUCUGGCAUAUAUAUAUCUGGGCACGUGGAACCAACAUACGUUUUCUUCCUAGCCAGACACUGAUGGGACAAGCAGGCUUUUCUAUGGCUAACUGAUCCCAGAUAAGUGCACUGGAGAGAGAUGCACCAUUUUGUGGGAACCACCCUCUACCCCAAGGUGUAUAUAUAUAUGGAAUAGAGAAAAUAAGACAAGGUUGAUAUAGUCCUUGUUGUCUAGAGCAUCUCUGUUGGCAUGUGACGCUCAGGCUGAGCUGAAGGCCCCUUUGAUCAACCUGUGUCUGUUCCUGGCAUCUGACUUCCCAGACUGUUCCUGGAGCUGGAGCAGUGGCUUUUGGUGAGGGUGUCACAUGAAGACUCACACAGGAUGGAAACUUCCAUUCACCAUCCUGCCGGUGUCCUCCGGGGGAGCUCUGGGCUGUAAUAUGCUUGGGAGCACUGAGAGCACCGACAGGCCCUGGGCAGGUGCACGUGCCUUGGUUGCAAGUGUCCUUUCUCAACAUGCAGGUCCGUUGUGAUCUAGGGUACAGAGUUUCCCCGGGUGGUCGGGCCCCAGCGGGGUGAGAGGCCUCUCUGUGAGGGGACGGUCCCAAGGCUCAGGGGCAGCAUGAGGGCUGCUAACACACUGGAAAAAUACAUAUACAGUAGGUCCUUAAAUAAUGUUUUGUUUAAUGUCAUUUUAUUAUAACACCGAUAAGAAACAAAACUGAUUCGGCAGGGCAUGGUGACUCAUGCCUGUAAUCCCAGCACUUUGGGAGGCCGAGGCGGGCAGAUCACCUGAGAUCGGGAGUUUGAGACCAGCCUGACGAACAUGGAGAAACCCCGUCUCUACUAAAAAUAAAAAAUUAGCCGGGCGUGCUGGCACAUGCCUGUUAUCCCAGCUACCAGGAAGGCUGAAGCAGGAGAAUUGCUUGAACCUGGGAGGCGGAGGUUGCGGUGAGCCAAGAUUGCGCCAGUCUCAAAACAAACAAACAAACAAACAAAAAAACAAAAAAGAAACAAGACUGAUUCCUGGGCAAGGCCACUGUCUGUAUGGGUUUUCUCUGGGUGCUCCAGUUCCCACCCACAUCCCAAAGCUGAGCAAGUGAGGUGAGCUGUCGUGUCUGAAUUGUCCCAGUGUUGUGUGUGGGUGGGUGGGUGUGGGGGUGUGUGAGCACCCUGCGAUGGAAUAGCACCCCGUCCAGGCCUGGUUCCUGCCCUGCACACUGAGUUGCUGGGGUGGACUCUGGCCACGCACGACCCUGAACUAGAAUAAGCACAUUAGAAUAUGAAUGAAUGAAUGAAUGAAUGAAUACAAAUUAUUGUAAAGUAAAAAUUCAUAAGGCAUACAAUAAUCAUCCAAAUGCAUGACAAUAAAUGAUGCGGUAUGAGAGGGCCUAGCAAGCCUGCCACAUUGGUGACUGUUCUGAACUUCGUGGUGGUAGGAGGUGCUCCUGACAAGGUUCGUUUUGCAAACAUUUAUUCCUUGAUCUAACCCACCAGCAGGACAACCACCAUCACAUACUGAUUCACCAAAAAUUGGGUAAAUAAUUAUCUUACUUGUUAUUAAUCUCUUUUAAAGGUAUGUGUAGCUUGCCUUUAUUUCAAUCUUUACUAUUAGAAUUGUAUUGGUCUUUAUUUAGAAGUGUGGUGAUCUUUUUGUGACCAGAAAUAUGCUGUAGGAACAUCAUUCUUGUUUAUAUCAAUUAACCUUGGGAAAACUGGCAUUGUUAUACCUCAUUUAGCUUAAAGCUGGUUCCCUAGAACCUAUCGAAGACCUUAAGUGAGGACUCACUGUACCUUUUGGCUUAACUGUUGUUGAAAGGUACUUUCCCAGACCAAGUGCUGUGAUAGUCACGAUUUCACUGGAUUUUCACAAGCGACCCUGAGAGGCAGAAAGGGCUUUUGUUGCCAAUUCCAUUUCGAGGUGAACCUGAAGCUUGGCAAGGUCUGUGCUUCACCCGGUCCCACGGAGAGCAAGUGGGAAGGGAACUCCCAUCACCUCCAUCUGCAUCAGGGCACUCUCCAACACACGGCCUCCAUGGAAGGUCAGCGAGGAGAACAACAGUAUUGGUUGCAGCGUUCUGCGUUUCAGUGCAAAACACCCUGUGGCUCCAAAAGUAGGUAAUUCUGCAGGGGCUUUGGCAAGGGUAACAGGGGGAUGAGGUCAAAGCACCUUUUGCCAAACAGUCUGCGAAGAGCACAGCGGCAAAGAUGCUGCAGGCAGCGUGGGGUGAGGGCCAAGGCAAAGAGGGACUGGUAGAACGGCUUGUGCAUCUGGAAGGGAAGGCAGGUGGAUUAGAAAUCUGGGCACGUGGAACCAACAUACGUUUUCUUCUUAGCCAGACCACUGAUGGUACAAGCGGGCUUUUCUAUGGCUAACUGAUCCCAGAUAAGCGCACUGGAGGGAGACGCACCAUCUUGUGGGAACCACCCUCUACCCCAGGGGCUUGUGUGCUCUCCCAAAGCACAGUUCCUGCCGAGUGAGAGGGGAUUCUGACUGGGGUGACUUCAGAUGCUCCAGGUGGUCUCCCCGAAUUCCGUUUUGCUCCAUCCUCUUUGCACAGCAGCCCUACAGCUCCGGGGUGGCCCUGUUCAUCUCCCCAAGUCAUGACCAGCUCUUCCCUUCUGCCAGGGAGGGGCUCAGGAGCGAGUGCAUGGCAUUGGUCUGGUGGUCAGUCAUGCACACAUGACUCAAGUCAGUGAAACAGAAAAAACACACACAACUCUUCUCACUCUCUUUUUUUUUUUUUGAGAUGGAGUCUAGCUCUGUCACCCAGGCUGGAGUGCAGUGGCGUGAUCCCAGCUUAUUGCACUCUCUGCCUCCUGGGCUCAAGCGAUUCUCCUGCCUUAGCCUCCUGAGUAACUGGCAUUACAGGCGCUUGCCACCAUGCUUGGGUAAUUUCUGUAUUUUCAGUAAAGACAAGCUUUCACCAUGUUGGCCAGUCUGGUCUUGAACUCCUGACCUCAAGCGAUCUGCCUGCCUUGGCCUCUCAAAGUGCUAGGAUUACAGGCAUGAGCCACCGCACCUGGCCUGUUCUCACUCUCUUUUAAUGGACAGUCACCUGUGGACUUUGUCGUGGAUAGAUGUAAUCCCCAUAGCUUCCUUGGUCGUAUCUUGAGCUGCUGGAGCAUGAAGCUGACUCACAGGGCCGGAUUAGUAUGUCCUGACGUGGAGCUAGGCCCGUGGAUUCAGGCGGCUCUGGCCUUUCUUUGGACACUGGUUAAGGAACCCUCGCGCUUUUCAGGCCAGCACGGGGCUCUGAGCUCCUUGAGGCCAUGGCACCGCAACUACUAUAACAAGCUCCUGGCUGUGUGAUUAUGGAGCCUCCAGAAAAAACCAGAAACGUGCAAAUACACCCUCAUUUCCCAUUCUUCCUUUUUCAGAUGUAUAAUACUUAGCCGAAUAUCAGUGCAAAACUCCCCAUGCAAAGAAGCAAAAACAGACAAAAGUUUUGUACUAAAGAUGGGCAGAAAGGCAGCCCUCUUGCCUGGAAUACUUCCUCAGGAAUCACUUCCUUCCAGGACUCUGACAAGCAGAGCUGAGGGUAGGAGUUGAAAAGCACCUCGAUGACUGCGGGGACAGAUGCACAGGUCUUCAGCACCUGGUGGGAAGAGGUGAAAGACGCAGCGUAGGCCGACUGGGUUCUGGGUCUCAGUGGGGAAAGGGUGGGGGGUGUGGGGGGAUGCUCUCCCUAGCUGUGUGACCUCCCUACGCCCAAGCCACACAGGGAACAGCAACAGAGCAGUACCACAGGGUUGCUGCAGGGAUCACAUGAAUUAGUGCACACAAAGACACAAGGCAACGGCUCUGCAAGGGAGCCCUCCUUCCCAUCAUGAUGGCCGCCCAGCCAAAGUCUGGGCCAAGUGCUUAAGCAUUCAGGUUCCCAGGGGGGCUAUGCUGGUGGCUUGGCAGGCCUCCUUGGCCCCCAGAGAGCUGCUCAGAGAAAAGGAAUGAAGUUCUGCUAGGAGGAAGUUUGGCCCGAGGAUGGUGUUCCCAAUUUCUUACCUCAAUUUUCAGAUGUGUCAGGAAAUUGAGAAUUGGGGAAGAGGAAUUGUUUUGCUGUUGAAUUUCCUCUUGACUUGGCAUUUCCGUUUUAUUUUCACAGUCCCCACUGGCAAAGAUUCCUAUUGCCUUAUUCACAAAUUUAUAAUUCAAGUCCAUUAGCUUCACCAUAAAGAUGGGAACACUAUUUGCUUUUAAAAAAUAAACUUUUUUUUGUUAUGGAGAAGUUUGAACCUUCAUACAAAAAAGUAGUGCCAAUAGUAUGAUAAACUCCCAUGUAUCCCCGCCCCCCCCAUCAACCCAUGGUUGAUCCUGCCCAUCCACUUCUCCUAAGAUUAAAGCAAAUUCCAUGUAUCCUAUAAUUUUAUCUGUAUUUCAGUGCAUCUUUUAUAUGACCCUUUGAAGAAACAAAGAUAAUAUUAUAGCACCUGAGAAAUUAACAAGUUUCAUAAUAUCACGUCAUAUACAAUCAGUGUUUAAAUUCACAGAUUUCUCUUAAAUGCCAUUAUAUUAACAAAAUAAUUUGUUUGUUUGAAUAAUCAUUCCAGUUAGGGCCGAUAUAAUGAGACUGGUUGCUGUGAUGUAUUUUUAGAUGUCUUUUUUGUUUCAUGUGACUUACUUGUGGUGGGAACUGGGUUAUUUGUCCUGUAGCAUUUCUCACUGUGGGGCUUUUGCUGAUUACAUCCCUGUGGGAUUUGUGGACAUGCUGCUCUUCCUCUGUUUUCUGUAAAUUAGUAGUUGGAUUUAGAAGCUGGACCAAAUUCAGUUGCCAGGCGCAGUGGCUCAGCACUUUGGGAGGCUGAGGCAGGCGGAUCACCUGAGGUUGGGAGUUCAAGAGCAGCCUGACCAACAUGGAGAAACACCGUCUCUACUUAAAAUACAAAAAUUAGCUGGGCGUGGUGGCACAUGCCUGUAAUCCCAGCUACACGGGAGGCUGACACAGGAGAUUCGCUUGAACCUGGGAGGCGGAGGUUGCGGUGAGCCGAGAUUGUGCCAUUGCACUCAAGCCUGGGCAACAAGAGUGAAACUCAGUCUCAAAAAAAAAAAGAAGCUGGACCAAAUUCAGAUUCGAUUUUGGAGAGGGGCAGGGCAAUUUCAUAGCUCUCUCUUUUUGAGGUCUAAGAUUUGCCAAGUGUUGUAUAAUCGUUCUUUCUAUUUCUUGGUUGAGAGACCAGAGGUUAUGCAACUUUUCUAAGCCCAGCUACCAUAUAUCUGCAGCAAUGACCUGAACCACUACCGGGGCCUGCCCUGCGUCAUGUCUACUGGGGCUCUAUGGACACAGAGUCCAACAAAAGAAAGUAUUGAAGUCACUCAUGGAGGCUGCUCACUUCACAACUUGCCUCCCUUCUCCACAGCUCCAGACCUAAAACCCCUUUAAAAUACAAAUAUGACAAACUAAAAAAAAUUCAUAUUCCUCUGGCUAGAGGUAACUACUAUUAACAUUUUGUGUAUGCUAAUGUUUUAUGUGUUUAGACAGAAAAUUAAUAUAUAUGACAACAAUGGGUGAAUGCUUUGCAUAUGAUUUUGAAAUCUGAUUUUUUUCCAUGCAGAAUAGAUUGUGAAUCUAUUUACAAGCAAUUAUCCUUUUUUCUUUUUUUUUUGGAUGGAGUCUUGCUCUAUCACCCAGGCUGGGGUGCAGUGGUAUGAUCUUGGCUCACUGCAACCUCUGCCUCCCAGUUCAAGCUAUUCUCCUGCCUCAGCCUCCCAAGUAGCUGGGACUACAGGCAGGUGCCACCACACCCGGCUGAUUUUUGUAUUUUUAUUAGAGACAGAGUUUCACCAUGUUGGCCAGGCUGGUCUUGAACUCCUGACCUCAUGAUCCGCCCACCUCAGCCUCCCAAAGUGCUGGGAUUACAGGCGUGAGCCACUGUGCCCAGCCCAAUAUGGACUAUUUACUUUUGUUUUGUUUGACCAUUUGUUUUUCUUCCUUUGUGAAUUGCUCAAUUAUGUCUUUUGCUCAUUUUUCUAUUGGUGUGUUCAUUUCUUCACUGAUUUGUAAGUACAUUUUAUUUAUUAGGGUUAUUUUCAGGUAGACAAUAAUUUUGCAAAUAAUGAUAUUUUUUUCUCCUCAAUAUUAAUAUUUCUUGUCUUAUUACACUGGCUAGAGCUUUUCAGUUCAAUGCUAAAUAACAACAUUAAUAGCAUGCAUAAUUAUCUUAUUCCUAACUUUAAUAGGAUUGUCUCUAAUGUUUCACCAUAAAUAUAACCUUGAACAUUAGUUUCAAAUAGAUACCCUGUUCUAAGUUAAGAAAAUAUCUUUCUAUUCCUAGGUUACUACAAAGUUUAAGAUGUAAUUUCAUUUUUUGCCUUUUUCUAACCAAGUUGAUAGAAAAAGAUUUUCCAGGUCGGAAGUGGUGGCUCAUGCCUGUAAUCCCAGCCCUUUGAGAGGCUGAGGUAAGUGGAUUACCUGAGGUCAGGAGUUCAAGACCAGCCUGACCAACAUGAUGAAACCCCUUCUCUACUAAAAAUACAAAAAUUAGCCAGGCAUGAUGGUGCACGCGUGUAAUCCCAGCUACUUGGGAGGCUGAGGCAGGAGAAUCGCUUGAACCCGGGAGGCGGAGUUUGCAGUGAGCUGAGAUCAUGCCACUGCACUCCAGCCUGGGUGACAGGGUGAGACUCUGUUUCAAAAAAAAAAAAAAAAAGAAAAAGAUUUUCCAAUACUGAUCCAUUUUUGCCUUCAUAAAACAGGCCCUAUUUGGCUAUUCUUCUAUAUUUAAUAUACAUAUUAUAUAUAAAAAUAUAAAAUGAUAAUAUCACUAUAUAUCAGAGAGGGAUAUAUAUGCUAUUAUAUAUACUAGAUCAGGCUAGAUCUUCACCGUAUCUAUUAAUAAGCACACUUUUCUCAUUUGAAAUAGUAGAGUAUACAUAAUACAGUGCCAGACUCAAUUUACUAAGAUUUUUAAAUCUCUUAAUAAAUUUGGUUUAUAAUUUUUUGAGCUAUUUUUGUCAAGUUUUAACAUCAUUUUAUGUUAACUUAGUAAAACUAUCUGAUAAAAUUUGUUUUUUUUUUAAUACUUGGGAAUAUUUUAACAAGUAGACCAUUAUUGGAAUCAGGAAGGCACAGUAGAUCUUGCAUUUGACAUUGUCUAUGCCUGGCAUUUAGCUGCAGGUAGUAAUUUGAUAGUUUUCAUUUCUUUCAUGGUUAUUGGCACAUUUUAUUUUGAUUUCUUCUUGAGUCCAUUUUGUUAAUCUAUAUUUUCCUGGAAAAUAAUCUUCAUUUUAAAGAAAUUUAGCAUUGCAUAGAUAACAGUCAAGGUCCAUUAGAAAAGAGAUGGAGAAGCCAGGCACGGUGGCUCACUCCUGUAAUUCCAGCAUUUUGGGAGGCCGAGGUGGGUGGAUCACCUGAGGUCAGGAGUUCGAUACUAGCCUGGCCAACAUGGUGAAGCUCCAUCUCUACUAAAAAUACAACAAAAUUAGCCAGGCAUGGUGGUGCACAUCUGUAGUCCCAGCUCCUCGGGAGGCAGAGGUAGGAGAAUUGCUUGAAUCCAGGAGGUGGAGGUUGCAGUGAGCUGAGAUCAUGCCACUGCACUCCAGCCUGGGCGACAGAGCAAGACUCCGUCUAAAAAAAAAAGAGAUGGCGAGUUCGAUAUGGGAUCAUUCCAGAAGUGUUUAUUGAUACAGGAACUAUUUAACCAGAUGUGGGUACAAGGAAACUGACAAGGGUCAGGGCAGCAAUGUGGGGUCGUGGCAGAGGUAUUACCACCCUGGGCUGAAGGGCCAGUCAGGUGAGCUGUCGUAGCAGAAGCAGCAGUCCUCGCUUGGGGAUACACAGCUAGCCUGAGGCAAAGAGCCAGCCCAGAGAAUGCAUGUUCUGCCCUCACUCUCCUUUCCUCCCUCCUGCUGCCGGGACACCCCACUGGCUAUACCCAGCUGGAAGGCAGAGGGCCGAGAGCUGUAGAAUGAGGUCCAUACGGAUCCAUAAAGGUGGAAGGAAGAGAUCUUCACUCUAUCGAUGAAUAAGCACCCUUUUCUCAUUUGAAAUUCACUGUAAUUGUAUUUUCAAUGCUUUUUUUCCUGUUUAGUUUUGCUGAAGGUUUUUCCAUUUUACUCCUUUUUUCAAGAAAUCAGCUAUUGGAUUUUGUUGAUCAGUUCUCUUUUAAAAUAUUAUAACCCAUUAAUUUUUGCCUUUAUCAUUAUUAACUCCUUUCUCCUAUCUCCUUAGGUAUGUUUUGUUUGUCUUUCAUGCUCCUUGGAUUGACUGCUCAGUUAAUUUCAUAACAUUUUUUUCCUAGAGUCAUAAUAAAGGCAACUUUCAAAAUGGUAUAAAUUUCCCUUUGAACGUUGGUAGGGUCAUAGCCAAGAGUUUUGAGGCAGUGUUCCCUUCCCUCCUUCCCUCCUUCCUUCCUUCCCUCCUUCCUUCCUUCCUUCUUUCCUUCCUUUUUUGAGACAGGGUCUUGCUCUGUCACCUAUGCUGCAGUGCAGUGGUGUGAUCAUGGCUCACUACAGCCUUGACCUCCUGGACUGAAGCGAACCUCCCACCUCAGCCUCCUGAGUAGCUGGGACUACAGGUGCAUGCCACUAUGCCAGGCUAAUUUAAAAAUUUUUUUUGUAGAGACAAGGUCUCACUAUGCUGCCCAGGCUGGUUUUGAACUCCUGGGUUCACGCGAUCUUCCCACUGCAGUCUCCCAAAGCGCUGGGAUUAUAGAUGUGAGCCACUACACCCGGCUCAUCUUUCUUAAAUAGUCUGCAGUUAAAUAACUGUUGAGGCAGUAGUUAUUUGAGAGUGUGCUAUAACAUUUUCAAAUGGUUAUUUUUUAAAAUGAACAGACUUUUUACUAUUAAUUUUCUGGUAUAUUGCAAUAUGGCUGUAGACAAUGUCUGUUUUGGCACUAGCAGAAGUCACAUUUCAUUUGGUUCAAAAUAUGUUUGUCACAUUUAUGAUUUGGAGCUACUGCACUUCAUUUUUUUUUUUUUUUGGCUCACUUGGUCUGUGAUAGAUAUGAAUUAAGAAUCACCUAAAUUAUUUUUCAGUCAUUUUCUCUGUUUUAACACAAUCUUCUUUGGCACAUAAAGUUUAUAAUGGUUAUCUUUUCACUAUGGGUUAUAUCCUUGGUCAAUAUCAAAUGAAUAUUUUUUCCCCUCUCAUUUUGUGUAUUUCCUUGGAAUUCUAUUUGCAUAUUGAUAUAAAAGUACAUUUUUUUUUGCCAGAAUUAUCUCUGCUCAUUCUUUAAUUUUUUUUUUGAGACAGAGCCUCACUCUGUCACCCAGGCUGGGGUGCAAUCACGAGAUCUUGGCUCACUGCAACCUCCAUCUCCUGGGUUCAAGCAAUUCUCCCGCCUCAGCCUCCCGAGUAGCUGGGAUUACAGGGACCCGCCAUCAUGCCUGGCUAAUUUUUUUGUAUUUUUGUAGAGAUGGGGUUUCACCAUGUUGGCCAGGCUGGUCUUAAACCCCUGAUCUCAGGUCAUCCACCCUCCUCGGCCUCCCAAAGCGCUGGGAUUACAGGUGUGCGCCACCACACCUGGCCUCAUUUUUAAAUUUUAACCUUUUGUUUCACUUUGUUUUAAAUGUAUUUGAGAGUCUGUGUUGGUAACAGGGUAGUUUAAGCAAUUUUCAUUUAUUAUCAUAAAUCAAGCGUUUGGUCUCACUCUGGUCUCACUUUAUUCUUUUUGUUUUCUGCUUCUUGUUUCCUUUGUUUUCCGGUUCUGUUGUACAUGUUUGUAUUUUCUUUGGAUUCAUCUUCCGUAUUUUGGAAGUAUGCAUUGUCUUUAAAAUGCUAUUAGUUACCUUCAAAAUAAAAAAAAAUAUCAACCUAGGCCUCAUGCAGUGGCUCACGCCUGUAAUCCCAACACUUUGGGAGGCUGAGGCGGGUAGAUCACGAGGUCAAGAGAUGGAGACCAUCCUGGCCAACAUAGUGUGGUGGCAUGCACCUGUAGUCCCAGCUACUCAGGAGGCUGAAGCAGGAGGAUCACUUGAACCCAGGAGGCAGAGGUUGCAGUGAGUUGAGAUCACGCCACUGCACUCCAGCCUGGCGACAGAGUGAGACUCCGUCUCAAAAAAAAAAAAA